GACGAACGCUGGCGGCGUGCUUAACACAUGCAAGUCGAACGGAAAGGCCUGCUUUCCCUUGUGGAUUGCGGGUACUCGAGUGGCGAACGGGUGAGUAACACGUGAGUGAUCUGCCCCCAACUUGGGUAUAAGCCUGGGAAACUGGGUCUAAUUCCCGAUAGGACUGCAGGGUGGUGCCUGUGGUGGAAACGAUUUUCUAGUGGUUGGGGAUGAGCUCGCGGCCUAUCAGCUUGUUGGUGGGGUAAUGGCCUACCAAGGCGGCGACGGGUAGCCGGCCUGGAGGGGUGGCCGGCAACUUGGGACCUGGGUACCGGCCCGGCCCCUAAGGGGGGGAGGAGUUGGGAAUAUUGCACAAUGGGCGGAAGCCUGAUGCAGCGACGCCGCGUGGGGGAUGACGGCCUUCGGGUUGUAAACUCCUUUCGACCGCGAGGAAGCCACCUGGUUGGAAGGGUGGUGACGGUAGUGGUAGAAGAAGCACCGGCUAACUACGUG
rnacentral:rRNA from 1 species